AUGCGCAGUAAGUUCCGCAAGAGCCUCUCCUACACUGGGGAGCUCGCGGGCCGAGCAGUCGCUUCCUCCUCCUCCCCCUCCGCCUCACUCGCGUCACUCGUCGGGCCCGUGGACGACGACGAGCCUUUCUGUGACAAGGAGGAGGGGCCCAUCGAGCUCAAGCAGUUCGACGCCAAGCGCGUCAACAACGUCCUCAUCCUCAUGAGCGACACUAGCGGGGGGCACUGCGCCUCCGCCGAGGCCAUCAAGGACGCCUUCCGCAUUGAGUUAGGCGACGACUACCGGGUCUUCGUCAAGGAUCUCUGCAAGGACCACGCCGGCUGGCCGCUCAACAACAUGGAGAGCUCCUACAAGUUCAUGGUGAAGCACAUGCAGCUCCGGAAGGUGGCCUUCCACGGCACAUCGCCCAAAUUUUUCCACAACUUCUACCUCGCCGCCCUCGCCUCCUUCUACUCCAAUAGGUACAGAAUUCUGCCAUCCAUGCUGGAGCGGAAAGAAUCCGGUGUUGGCUACGUAGAUCCAAACUGA
rnacentral:rRNA from 1 species